rnacentral:rRNA from 1 species
AGGGAUCAUUACUGAGUUUUUGUACUCUAUAAACCAUGUGUGAACAUACCUAUCUUGUAGUGAGAUGAAUUGCUGUUUUGGUGGUAGGGCCCUUCUGAAGGGCACCGCUGCCAGCAGUAUAUAAGUCUCGCCACUGUAAACUCUUACUAUUUUCUUAAUUUUCAUUGCUGAGUGGCAUAACUAUAAAAAAGUUAAAACUUUCAACAACGGAUCUCUUGGCUCUAGCAUCGAUGAAGAACGCAGCGAAAUGCGAUAAGUAAUGUGAAUUGCAGAAUUCAGUGAAUCAUCGAAUCUUUGAACGCACAUUGCGCCUGGCAGUAUUCUGCCAGGCAUGCCUGUCCGAGCGUCAUUUCACCACUCAAGGACUCCUUUUGUUCUUGGCGUUGGAGGUCCUGUUCUCCCCUGAACAGGCCGCCGAAAUGUAUCGGCUGUUAUACUUGCCAACUCCCCUGUGUAGUAUAAAAUUUCUAAUUUUUACACUUUGAAGUUCUUGUGUAACACGCCGCUAAACCCCCCUCAACUUUUGUUGAACUUUCACAAGGUUGACCUCGGAUCAGGUAGGAAUACCCGCUGAACUUAA